rnacentral:rRNA from 1 species
CCUUACGGGAGGCAGCAGCAAGGAAUUUUCCGCAAUGGACACAUGUUUGACGGAGCAACGCCGCGUGCAGGACGACGGCCUUCGGGUUGUAAACUGCUUUUGGGUGGGACGAUGAUGACGGUACCACCCGAAUAAGCCCCGGCUAACUCCGUGCCAGCAGCCGCGGUAAGACGGAGGGGGCAAGCGUUGUCCGGACUCACUGGGCGUAAAGCGUGCGUAGGUGGUGCGAUGCGUCGGCGCUGAAAGCCGGCUUAACCGGGCGACGGGCGACGAUACGAUCGCACUGGAGGCAGGGAGACGUUGGUGGAAUUCCGGGUGUGGUGGUGAAAUGCGUAGAGAUCCGGAGGAAUGCCGGUGGCGUAAGCGGCCAACGAGUCCUGACCUGACACUGAGGCACGAAAGCGUGGGGAGCAAACCGGAUUAGAUACCCGGGUGGUCCACGCCGUAAACGAUGUCGGCUAGGUGUGUGAUCGGGGUGACCCGAUUGGCGUGCCGAAGCUUACGCGGUAAGCCGACCGCCUGGGGACUACGAGCGAAAGUUAAAAACUCAAAGGAAUUGACGGGGGCCCCCACAAGCAGCGGAGGGGUGGGUUAAUUCGACGGGACGGGAGAACCUUAA